rnacentral:ncRNA from 1 species
AGGGCUGGAAGAGGUGCGUUAUUCAGGUAUUUGAGUGGAGGAGAGCAAACUCCCGCGAAACUCAAAGAGGGGAAUUAACGCCGAGAAGCACUGCGUUUUGCUUACGUAAUGCUUCGGGCGACUGGGUUGAAUCCCAGCGACUGUCACCAACACAUUUGGUGGAGAGCUUCUGGUCUU